AACGAACGCUGGCGGCAUGCCUAACACAUGCCAGUCGAACGAGACCUUCGGGUCUAGUGGCGCACGGGUGCGUAACGCGUGGGAACCUGCCCUUAGGUUCGGAAUAACUCCCCGAAAGGGGUACUAAUACCGGAUAAUGUCUUCGGACCAAAGAUUUAUCGCCUUUGGAUGGGCCCGCGUUGGAUUAGCUAGUUGGUAGGGUAAAAGCCUACCAAGGCGACGAUCCAUAGCUGGUCUGAGAGGAUGAUCAGCCACACUGGGACUGAGACACGGCCCAGACUCCUACGGGAGGCAGCAGUGGGGAAUAUUGGACAAUGGGCGAAAGCCUGAUCCAGCAAUGCCGCGUGAGUGAUGAAGGCCUUAGGGUUGUAAAGCUCUUUUACCCGGGAUGAUAAUGACAGUACCGGGAGAAUAAGCUCCGGCUAACUCCGUG
rnacentral:rRNA from 1 species